UAGCAGGUUCUAGCAACAGUCAGGG
rnacentral:misc_RNA from 1 species